UACGUAGGGUGCGAGCGUUAAUCGGAAUUACUGGGCGUAAAGCGUGCGCAGGCGGUUCGCUGUGUCCGAUGUGAAAGCCCCGGGCUUAACCUGGGAAUGGCAUUGGAAACUGGCGGGCUCGAGUGCGGCAGAGGGGGGUGGAAUUCCGCGUGUAGCAGUGAAAUGCGUAGAGAUGCGGAGGAACACCGAUGGCGAAGGCAGCCCCCUGGGUCGACACUGACGCUCAGGCACGAAAGCGUGGGGAGCAAACAGG
rnacentral:rRNA from 1 species